rnacentral:sRNA from 1 species
GCAGCUCCAGCAACAGCAGCAGCAGCUCCAGCAGUUACAGCAGCAGCAGCUCCAGCAGCAGCAAUUGCAGCAGCAGCAGUUACUGCAGCUCCAGCAGCUGCUCCAGCAAUCCCCACCACAGGCCCCGUUGCCCAUGGCUGUCAGCCGGGGGCUCCCCCCGCAGCAGCCACAGCAGCCGCUUCUGAAUCUCCAGGGCACCAACUCAGCCUCCCUCCUCAACGGCUCCAUGCUGCAGAGAGCUUUGCUUUUACAGCAGUUGCAAGGACUGGACCAGUUUGCAAUGCCACCAGCCACGUAUGACACUGCCGCUCUCACCAUGCCCACAGCAACACUGGGUAACCUCCGAGGCUACGGCAUGGCAUCCCCAGGCCUCGCAGCCCCCAGCCUGACAGCCCCCAGCCUCACACCCCCACAACUGGCCACUCCAAAUUUGCAACAGUUCUUUCCCCAGGCCACUCGCCAGUCCUUGCUGGGACCUCCUCCUGUUGGGGUCCCCAUGAACCCUUCCCAGUUCAACCUUUCAGGACGGAACCCCCAGAAACAGGCCCGGACCUCCUCCUCUACCACCCCCAAUCGAAAGACAAUGCCUGUGGAAGACAAGUCAGACCCCCCAGAGGGGUCUGAGGAAGCCGCAGAGCCCCGGAUGGACACACCAGAAGACCAAGAUUUACCGCCCUGCCCAGAGGACAUCGCCAAGGAAAAACGCACUCCAGCACCUGAGCCUGAGCCUUGUGAGGCGUCCGAGCUGCCAGCAAAGAGAUUGAGGAGCUCAGAAGAGCCCACAGAGAAGGAACCUCCAGGGCAGUUACAGGUGAAGGCCCAGCCGCAGGCCCGGAUGACAGUACCGAAACAGACACAGACACCAGACCUGCUGCCUGAGGCCCUGGAAGCCCAAGUGCUGCCACGAUUCCAGCCACGGGUCCUGCAGGUCCAGGCCCAGGUGCAGUCACAGGCUCAGCCGCGGAUACCA